rnacentral:rRNA from 1 species
AGAGUUUGAUCAUGGCUCAGGACGAACGCUGGCGGCGUGCUUAACACAUGCAAGUCGAACGGUGACCUUGAGAGCUUGCUCUUGGGGGAGCAGUGGCGAACGGGUGAGUAACACGUGAGUAACCUGCCCCUGACUCUGGAAUAAGCGCUGGAAACGGCGUCUAAUACCGGAUACGAGAUGCCACCGCAUGGUGAGUGUCUGGAAAGUUUUUCGGUCUGGGAUGGACUCGCGGCCUAUCAGCUUGUUGGUGAGGUAAUGGCUCACCAAGGCGAUGACGGGUAGCCGGCCUGAGAGGGCGACCGGCCACACUGGGACUGAGACACGGCCCAGACUCCUACGGGAGGCAGCAGUGGGGAAUAUUGCACAAUGGGCGAAAGCCUGAUGCAGCGACGCCGCGUGAGGGAUGACGGCCUUCGGGUUGUAAACCUCUUUCAGCAGGGAAGAAGCGCAAGUGACGGUACCUGCAGAAGAAGCACCGGCUAACUACGUGCCAGCAGCCGCGGUAAUACGUAGGGUGCGAGCGUUGUCCGGAAUUAUUGGGCGUAAAGAGCUUGUAGGCGGUUUGUCGCGUCUGCUGUGAAAAUCCGGGGCUCAACCCCGGACUUGCAGUGGGUACGGGCAGACUAGAGUGUGGUAGGGGAGACUGGAAUUCCUGGUGUAGCGGUGAAAUGCGCAGAUAUCAGGAGGAACACCGAUGGCGAAGGCAGGUCUCUGGGCCACUACUGACGCUGAGAAGCGAAAGCAUGGGGAGCGAACAGGAUUAGAUACCCUGGUAGUCCAUGCCGUAAACGUUGGGAACUAGGUGUGGGUCUCAUUCCACGAGAUCCGUGCCGCAGCUAACGCAUUAAGUUCCCCGCCUGGGGAGUACGGCCGCAAGGCUAAAACUCAAGGAAUUGACGG